GACGAACGCUGGCGGCGUGCUUAACACAUGCAAGUCGAACGGAAAGGCCCUGCUUUUGUGGGGUGCUCGAGUGGCGAACGGGUGAGUAACACGUGAGUAACCUGCCCUUGACUUUGGGAUAACUUCAGGAAACUGGGGCUAAUACCGGAUAGGAGCUCCUGCUGCAUGGUGGGGGUUGGAAAGUUUCGGCGGUUUGGGAUGGACUCGCGGCUUAUCAGCUUGUUGGUGGGGUAGUGGCCUACCAAGGCUUUGACGGGUAGCCGGCCUGAGAGGGUGGCCGGGCAAAAUGGGGCAGAGAUACGGGCCAGAACCCGAAGGGAGGGAGGAGGGGGGAAAAUUGAAAAAAGGGCGGAAGGCUGAAGCAGGCACGCCGGGGGGGGGAUGAAGGGCUUCGGGGUGGAAACCCCUUUCAGCAUAGAAGAAGGGGAAGUGAAGGUAGGUGGAUAAGAAGGACCGGCCAACUAAGUG
rnacentral:rRNA from 1 species